rnacentral:rRNA from 1 species
GUAUCGGAACGUGCCCAGUCGUGGGGGAUAACUGCUCGAAAGAGCAGCUAAUACCGCAUACGACCUGAGGGUGAAAGCGGGGGAUCGCAAGACCUCGCGCGAUUGGAGCGGCCGAUAUCAGAUUAGGUAGUUGGUGAGGUAGAGGCUCACCAAGCCGACGAUCUGUAGCUGGUCUGAGAGGACGACCAGCCACACUGGGACUGAGACACGGCCCAG